AUCAGCGCGGGAGGCGCGGGCUGGCGCGCGCUCGAGGCGGCCAAUCACGGGGCCGGGCUCGGUGCGGAGCGCCCUCUAUCCCCGUCUCCACGUUCGAAACUCUCGCUCGCCACUCGCCGGGUGGACGGCGCAGGGCCGCGCCUGUUCGUCGCCUCACGGCCGGGGGAGGAGGCGGCUGUUGGGCGCCGUGGGCUCCUAGCGAUGCGGGGUAAUGUCAUAUUUGGGACUAAGAUAUGGAAAAGAGCAAUGUGGUGAAUUCUGUACAAGAAACCCCUUCAUCCUCUGCAGACUCUGAUGUCAGAAACACCCACAGCUCUGGCUGUAACUUGAAUUCUAACAGAAGUCCUUCAUCCAAUCCCAAUGGAGUUUCUGGUUACUCAGGGAAUACCAGGUCCUCAUUAAAGCCUGGUUCUGUUGAGCUGCUUGCCUCCUUUAUGCAAGACAUCCAGAACAUUGGCCAUGCUGACUCGGAAAUUGUGAGGAACUGUGAGGCAAGGUGGCUACAGCUACUGAGACUGGUAGAAAAACAAUGCCAGGAACAAAUAAAUGCCCAGCAAGAGCAGUUCCACCAUCAAAUCCAACUGAUUCAGGAUGAGAUAAAGCAGCUGGUGAGGUUUCAGAGCAGCACCUGGAGCCGGGCUCUGCCCACCCAGCUCCCGGCCACCUUUCCCUCCCUCCCCAUGGGGAUGCGCUCGGAGGCGUUUGAGGAGCAGGAGAGCCUGGUGAGCCAGCUGAGAUCCAGCGAGGGGGAGAGCCAGCCCGAGGCCUCCGAGGUGCAGCAGGAAUGUGCGGGCAGCGAGGCCUCGAUGAACAGCGGCUACGGCUCCCUCUCCACCUCCGAGCUGAGCCCUGCCCAGCCCAGCGGGGGCACAGACUGCACCACGGAGCACACUGCCCACGGAGCACGGCUGCAGAGGGAUGCAGACAGCAUUCCAGAUAAAAGAGAACUUUUAGCAAACGAGCCAGAGGAAAAUCGUUCAUUGGGAAGGAGUGAUGUUUUAGUUUUUCCAACUGGCUUUGAACAUAAAGCUGAUGAAGAUCAUCAAAGUGGGAAAAAACCCAGUAAAUCUUUAACAUCGUGGGCAGAAAAGUUGAAACAAACCCAACCAAAAAGAGUAACUGCAGAUGAAGUAUGUGUGAACUCUAUGCAAGAAAGUGAGAGAGUGAAGAGAUUACCACUUGAGAAUACAAACCUUACUGAUGCUGCUUUGCCACCAUACACUUUUUACCUCAAUCAACCCAAGGAAAGUCCAAAUUCCAUAGUAUCAGAAGCUUCAGGACUUUCAUACUGGAAGUUAGAUGAAAAGGAGAUGUAUCACACUUUACCAGAGAAUUUCAGAAGUGAGUUACCAGAUGUUUUCUCCACAAAAGUAUCACCAGUUCAGUUGUGUUCUGCUGAUGAAAGGAAGUUAUCAUCACUGAAGGACAUGUAUCAUAAAAGACAAAGGGAAAACAAGCAGAUGCCAGACCAGAGUUUUAUGCCUUCUUCCCAGCCAAGUCACCCACCAGAGAUCUUGACAUUGGACCCAACCCUGCAUAUGAAACCAGGCCAGCAGACCCAGGGACGCUGUUUUUUCAAUACUCCUGAGGACUCUACUCCCUUUUCUCCAGACUCAAUGGCAGAGCCCGAAUUUCCAAGUCAUUGUGACACAGACUCUUUUUCACAGACAAGUCCCUCAUCUCAGUUAGAUGAUUCUCCAGCACACCCUGCCAGCAGCAGAGCUGUGCACUUGGACCUGUGGAGAAAUCACCCAUUCCAGAGUGAAAACAGGGCCAGCUCUCCCUUCCCAGUGGCAUACAGGGAUGCUGACAAUGAUAAUUCAGUCAACACUGAGGAGGAAGAAACACUGACUCUAACUCCAUCUUCUGUUACUCAGUGUGCUGACAACAGUUUGCCAGAUUACAGCUUUUCAGUGGCAGCUGUUGAAGAUCCUGUGGUAAUGUCAAAGAUUAGGCAGAACCUGAGGGAAAAACACGCUCGACACAUCGCUGAUCUACGAGCUUACUAUGACUCUGAGAUACAGAGCUUAAAACAGCAGCUGGAGUCAAGCCAUAGAACUGCUGCAUCUGAGGACCUGAAGAAAAUCAAUCAAAGCCUUGCUGACAGGUGUGACCAGUUAGAUGCAGCUCUGAAUGAAGCAAGUGCUCGCAUAAAAGCCCUUGAAAAUAAGAAUAAUCUGCUAGAAAAGCAAAUGGCAGAUUGGAGAGACCGUUUCUAUGCCAUCAGUGACAAUUCCAAAGUCCUGCAGGAGCGGCUGGAGGAAAUGCGCACAAGCCACAAGGAGAAGGACAACACCAUCAGCCGCCUGAAAUCGAGGCUCAGGGAGCUGGAGGAGGCUUUUGAGAAGGCUUACAAGUUAUCUGACAAUAAAAACACAAGGCUCCAGGAAGAGAACAAAAUGUUUCAAAAUCUUUUAGGAGAAUACGAGUCCCUUGGAAAAGAACAUGAAAGAGUAAAGGAUACAUUAAAUACAACUGAAAACAAAUUGCUUGAUGCAAACACAGAGAUUUCUGAUUUGAAAAGGACAAUUUUAAAACUUGAAGCUCAGCUCAAGCAGGUGGAACAUGAAAAUGCACUAAAACUUCGCCAUAUAAGUGAAAACCAUUUAAGAACCUCUUGUGCCAACAAGUUAGGAACUCCUGAUGUCAGCAGGCGAAAGUGGUUGAUACCAGGAGCUGAAUAUUCCAUCUUUACUGGGCAGCCUUUGGAGAACCAGGAAAGACCCAAAGAUAACAGGCUGGAAGAAACCUAUAUUCCUUCUAGGCACCAUUCUCCUCCUGAGAAAGACUCCUCACAGGAAGAUUCUUCAACAAACACAAUAGAAAAGAAAGAAAAUGAGAUGUCAGAAGCACCAAUUAUAAAAGCCUUUAAAGAACUUGAAGAAGGAAAAAUAUUUAAAGAUUGGGGCACACAGACAGAAAAAGAAGACGCACCAGCUAAACCAUCAGCUCGACGUCAGACUGUUGGGUUUGUUGAAACUUCUUUGGUUACAAACCGAUCUCCAGAGAAAGGGAAGGACCAGCACAGACCCAAACGCUUCAGCUCCCCCUCUGGCCAGAGAUCAUCAUCCCUUCCUCCUGCAAACAGGAAAUCCAGCACACCCAAAGAGAGAUAAUGUUGGCACCAGUGUCUGUGACAUACAGCCCAAAACGAUCUCCAAAAGAAAACUUCUCUCCUGGAUUUAGCCAUUUGCUCAGCAGAAAUGAAAACACAGUGACAAGAUUUGAUAUACUUCUAGAUGACCUGGAAACUGGUGCUACUUCUACUUUACAGCACAAUAAUCCAAGGAAAAGGCUCCAGUUUCACUCACUAGAGGAUCUAGAAGGAAGGCAGCAUUCAGGUGUCAGACACAGCUCCUGCACUGAAUCUGUCAGUAAUGGAAUGAAGAAAGCGGCAGCUUGGGAGGAGAGGAGCCAGAGAUACGAGGCAGCACAAUCACCUUGUGAGGAAGACUUCAAGUACUCAGCAAGGAUUACAACUCUGGCUGAAACAGAGAGGCUUUUUGAUGAGCUGACUCACGAAAAGCAACAGAUUGAGGCUGCACUGAGCCGAAUCCCUUGUUCUGGUGGAAGAAUGACCUUGCAAGCGAGACUAAAUCAGGAAGCCCUGGAAGAUCGUUUGGAAAGAAUUAAUAGAGAUUUGGGGUUAAUACGAAUGACUCUGAAAAGAUUUCAUGUUUUAAGAACCUCUGCGAAUCUUUGACAGUUCUCUCUUGACUGCAAAUAUACUUUUUUUUUUUGCACUAAUAUAUAAUGAUGCACUCAGUAAAUGCAAAUUGUUUUGUAUUUUUAUAAACCCUGAAAAGUAGUUUUGCAACCAUGUUACCCUUUACAAACAGCAAUAUUUUGUACUUCAAACAGCCACCUCUAUUUUAAAUGUAUUUUUGUUACACCUGGGAAAUCAAUGUUUAUCCUGUAUUGUAAUAUUUUUAGAAAUAUUAAUUAUUUUUAAAUAGUGAUAUUCAAUUUAUAAUAAGAAACUAAAAGGCAGCUUGUUUUCAGAAAAAAAUGGUAGUGUUACCCUUUUGCACUUGGUUUUCCUCCACCAUUUUAUAAAUAUUUAUGGUGUGAUGUAAAUAUUAGCCAAGAGGAGAUUUUGAACUUUAAUACAAAAAGCAACAUGAGUUACCUGUAUUAAAGAGAACCGCUGUUCUGUGGUAAAUCCUUUUAAUUUAAACCUUUAACAUGGAUAUUUCUCAUUGUGACAGAACUGUGAGCAAUACUUGCACUGUGGCUGGCUGGGGCAGGCAAAUCCUUCUCUGAUUUAUCUGAUGUCUCCCAGCAGUGACAGUGAGGGGUGUUUUGAUACUGUGAGUACCAGGAUUCACCUGGCAGCAGCCUCCUGUCUCCCAGUGAACAACUCAACUCCAGCUGACACUCCAGGACUGGAAUUCCUUACCUGAAGUCACUGGUUCCAUGUGCCAGACUGGGUUUUUUGUGCCAGUGUUCUGUUUGUGUACAUUUCAUUUGUAUUUGUGAGCAUAAACCAAUUUUUCUUGGUGAAAAAAAUACGUAUUUGCCAGUUGAUAUAUUGUUGCAUUACUGUCCAACAUUGAUAUUUUGGUUUGUAUUUUAAUAUUAAAUAAAUGUUUAAUUAGAUUCUUUC